rnacentral:rRNA from 1 species
UACAGAGGUCUCAAGCGUUGUUCGGAUUCAUUGGGCGUAAAGGGUGUGUAGGUGGCGCCGUAAGUCAGGUGUGAAAUUUCGGAGCUUAACUCCGAAACUGCAUUUGAUACUGCGGUGCUCGAGGACUGGAGAGGAGACUGGAAUUUACGGUGUAGCAGUGAAAUGCGUAGAUAUCGUAAGGAAGACCAGUGGCGAAGGCGGGUCUCUGGACAGUUCCUGACACUGAGACACGAAGGCCAGGGGAGCAAACGGG